AGACGUCUACAUUAGACUACCCCGUAGUCCCAGCCGUAAACUAUGCGCGUUAGGUGUAUCGGUGACCACGAGUCACCGAGGUGCCGAAGGGAAACCGUGAAACGUGCCGCCUGGGAAGUACGGUCGCAAGGCUGAAACUUAAAGGAAUUGGCGGGGAGCACCACAACGGGUGGAGCCUGCGGUUUAAUUGGACUCAACGCCGGGAAGCUCACCGGAUAAGACAGCGGAAUGAUUGCCGGGCUGAAGACUCUGCAUGACUAGCUG
rnacentral:rRNA from 1 species